rfam:Actinobacteria bacterium OK074 ctg134, whole genome shotgun sequence.
UUCACGGAGAGUUUGAUCCUGGCUCAGGACGAACGCUGGCGGCGUGCUUAACACAUGCAAGUCGAACGAUGAAGCCCUUCGGGGUGGAUUAG